rnacentral:rRNA from 1 species
AGAGUUUGAUCCUGGCUCAGGAUGAACGCUGGCGGCGUGCUUAACACAUGCAAGUCGAACGGGAAUGCUUCGCUGAUGCGAUUUCGGUCAAAUCUUGAAGCAUUUUAGUGGCGGACGGGUGAGUAACGCGUGGGUAACCUGCCCUGUACAGGGGGACAACAGUUGGAAACGACUGCUAAUACCGCAUAAGCGCACAGCUUCGCAUGGAGCAGUGUGAAAAACUCCGGUGGUACAGGAUGGACCCGCGUUUGAUUAGAUAGUUGGUGAGGUAACGGCCCACCAAGUCAACGAUCAGUAGCCGGCCUGAGAGGGCGAACGGCCACAUUGGGACUGAGACACGGCCCAAACUCCUACGGGAGGCAGCAGUGGGGAAUAUUGCACAAUGGGGGAAACCCUGAUGCAGCGACGCCGCGUGAGUGAAGAAGUAUUUCGGUAUGUAAAGCUCUAUCAGCAGGGAAGAAAACAAUGACGGUACCUGACUAAGAAGCCCCGGCUAACUACGUGCCAGCAGCCGCGGUAAUACGUAGGGGGCAAGCGUUAUCCGGAUUUACUGGGUGUAAAGGGAGCGUAGACGGUAGACCAAGUCUGAAGUGAAAGCCCGGGGCUCAACCCCGGAACUGCUUUGGAAACUGGUAAACUAGAGUGCAGGAGAGGUAAGUGGAAUUCCUAGUGUAGCGGUGAAAUGCGCAGAUAUUAGGAGGAACACCAGUGGCGAAGGCGGCUUACUGGACUGUAACUGACGUUGAGGCUCGAAAGCGUGGGGAGCAAACAGGAUUAGAUACCCUGGUAGUCCACGCCGUAAACGAUGAUUACUAGGUGUUGGAGGAUUGACCCCUUCAGUGCCGCGGUUAACACAAUAAGUAAUCCACCUGGGGAGUACGACCGCAAGGUUGAAACUAAAAGGAAUUGACGGGGGCCCGCACAAGCAGUGGAGUAUGUGGUUUAAUUCGACGCAACGCGAAGAACCUUACCAAGUCUUGACAUCCGUUGACCGACAUAGAAAUAUGUUUUUCCUUCGGGACAGCGAGACAGGUGGUGCAUGGUUGUCGUCAGCUCGUGUCGUGAGAUGUUGGGUUAAGUCCCGCAACGAGCGCAACCCUUAUGGUCAGUUACUACGCAAGAGGACUCUGGCCAGACUGCCGUUGACAAAACGGAGGAAGGUGGGGAUGACGUCAAAUCAUCAUGCCCUUUAUGACUUGGGCUACACACGUACUACAAUGGCGUUAAACAAAGAGAAGCAAGACCGCGAGGUGGAGCAAAACUCAGAAACAACGUCCCAGUUCGGACUGCAGGCUGCAACUCGCCUGCACGAAGUCGGAAUUGCUAGUAAUCGUGGAUCAGCAUGCCACGGUGAAUACGUUCCCGGGCCUUGUACACACCGCCCGUCACACCAUGAGAGCCGGGGGGACCCGAAGUCGGUAGUCUAACCGCAAGGAGGACGCCGCCGAAGGUGAAACUGGUGAUUGGGGUGAAGUCGUAACAAGGUA